ACGGGAGGCAGCAGUGGGGAAUAUUGGGCAAUGGGCGAAAGCCUGACCCAGCAAUGCCGCGUGAAGGAAGAAGGUCUUCGGAUUGUAAACUUCUUUUAUGAGGGACGAAGGAAUUGACGGUACCUCAUGAAUAAGCCACGGCUAACUACGUGCCAGCAGCCGCGGUAAUACGUAGGUGGCAAGCGUUAUCCGGAUUUACUGGGUGUAAAGGGCGCGUAGGCGGGGAAGCAAGUCAGAUGUGAAAUCUAUGGGCUUAACUCAUAAACUGCAUUUGAAACUGUUUCUCUUGAGUGCUGGAGAGGUAGAUGGAAUUCCUAGUGUAGCGGUGAAAUGCGUAGAUAUUAGGAGGAACACCAGUGGCGAAGGCGGCUUACUGGACUGUAACUGACGUUGAGGCUCGAAAGCGUGGGGAGCAAACAGGAUUAGAUACCCUGGUA
rnacentral:rRNA from 1 species